rnacentral:rRNA from 1 species
AUUGAACGCUGGCGGCAGGCCUAACACAUGCAAGUCGAGCGGAUGAAGGGAGCUUGCUCCUGGAUUCAGCGGCGGACGGGUGAGUAAUGCCUAUGAAUCUGCCUGGUUGUGGGGGAUAACGUCCGGAAACGGGCGCUAAUACUGCAUACGUCCUGAGGGAGAAAGUGGGGGAUCUUCGGACCUCACGCUAUCAGAUGAGCCUAGGUCGGAUUAGCUAGUUGGUGGGGUAAAGGCCUACCGAGGCGACGAUCCGUAACUGGCCUGAGAGGAGGAUCAGUCACACUGAAACUGAGACACGGCACAGGGACUGAGGGGAGGCAGCGGUGGGGAAGAUUGGCCGAAGUGCGAAAGCCUGAUCCAGCGAUGGAGCGUGUGUGAAGAAAGGCUGCGGAUGGUAAAGCGCUUUAAGUUGGGAGGAAGGGCAGUAAGUGAAUACCUGGCUGUGUGAACGUUACCAACAGAAUAGGCACCGGCUAACACCGU